rnacentral:rRNA from 1 species
UACGAAGGUGGCUAGCGUUGUUCGGAAUUACUGGGCGUAAAGCGCACGUAGGCGGACUCUUAAGUCAGGGGUGAAAUCCCGGGGCUCAACCUCGGAACUGCCUUUGAUACUGUGAGUCUCGAGACCGGAAGAGGUGAGUGGAAUUCCUAGUGUAGAGGUGAAAUUCGUAUAUAUUAGGAAGAACACAAGUGGCGAAUGCGGCUCACUGGUCCGGUUCUGACGCUGAGGUGCGAAAGCGUGGGGAGCAAACAGG